UGGGUUAAGCUAAUCUUCCCAGGGUGAGUCGGGACCUAAGGCGAGGCCGACAGGCGUAGUCGAUGGAUAACCAGUUGAUAUUCUGGUACCCGUGUAUGUGCGCCCAGUGGUGAAUCAGUGGUACUAACCAUCCAUUGAUCUGCUGGUCAUGCUUUGUGUGUGGUUGGUGGUGAUGUGCGUGGGAUCUUCGUUGGUAGUAGCCAAGUGAUGGGGUGACGCAGUGAGGUAGCUGAGCCAUUUAUUGGAUUGUGGUGUAAGCGUGUGGCCCGUGGCAUAGGUAAAUCCGUGUCGCAUAUUUGGGUGAGGCGUGAUGCGUAGACCUUUGUGGUUGAUGUUGGUGAUCCUGUACUGUCGAGAAAAGCCUCUAGCGAGUGCAUAUAUGGCCCGUACCCAUAACCGACACAGGUGGUCAGGUAGAGAAUACUAAGGCGAUCGGGUGAACUGUGGUUAAGGAACUCGGCAAAUUGCCCCCGUAACUUCGGGAGAAGGGGGACCAUUGCUGGUGACCGACGUGGUUGAGCUGGUGGUGGUCGCAGAGAAUAGAGGGAAGCGACUGUUUAUUACAAACACAGGUCCGUGCGAAAACGUGGAAGUUGAUGUAUACGGACUGACGCCUGCCCGGUGCUGGAAGGUUAAGAGGACCUGUUAGGGCAUUUUUUGUCCGAAGCGGAGAAUUUAAGCCCCAGUAAACGGCGGUGGUAACUAUAACCAUCCUAAGGUAGCGAAAUUCCUUGUCGGGUAAGUUCCGACCUGCACGAAUGGCGUAACGACUUCCCUGCUGUCUCAACCAC
rnacentral:rRNA from 1 species